rnacentral:tRNA from 1 species
UCCCUGGUGGCUCAGUUGGUAAAGCGUCUGCCUACAAUGCGGGAAACCCGGGUUCAAUCCCUGGGUUGGGAA